AGGGGAUGAAAAGGAAGGGGUGCUGCAGCUUGCACAGAAGGUAUGGGAAUGGCAUUACUGCUUUAUUCUUUGCCUUGGUCUACACAGGAAUAAAGCAAGGAAGAAACUGGUGCCUAAGGUCACACUGAUAAUAGAUGAAGUGAUGGAGCAAGGAUUCAACUGCCAGCAGUUUGGUUCCUCAGCCUGGUUUUGCCAUGUUGGCCAGGCUGGUCUCGAACUCCUGACCUCAAGUGAUCUGCCUACCUUGACCUCCCAACAUACUGGGAUUACAGGCAUGAGCCACUGCACCCAGCCUUGGCAUUUUCAUUGCUAUAUAUAAUCCCCCGAUCUCAAAUGCUACCCAUGACCAUCUGUUACACCUUAGUGGGAAUCUAAAUCAUCUAAUCACUAAAUGAUGUGCCCACUGCUUCAUCUCUACUUAUACAGUGAAAGAUCAUAGAUUUUAUCAAAGGUAUUUUGAGCAUCAAAUUGGAAAUCCUGGGAAACUCCUGGGCAUGGAGGACCUCAGAUGUCACCCUGCAGCUUUCUCUGUCUGUCUCUGAGAACAGAUCUAGAGCCUUAGUGCCGUCGCCACCACAGAUGGGCUAAAUUCAAGGACUGAUGACUACUCAAAGCUGCUAUGGAGUUAAAAUAAAUAGCAUGAGAGCAUGAACGUGACAUAAUAAGGUUUUACUGGAAGAAGAGUUAGUUUUAAAAUGACAACAAUUGUAGGAAAAGCCAAAAUUUAUUAUAUACAAAAAAAUCAAAA
rnacentral:antisense_RNA from 1 species